CAGAGUUGCAAAACUCCCCAAACCAUCGUGAACCUUUACCGCUAAACAGUUGCUUCGGCGGGUGGCCAGGGGGCGCGCGCAAGCCCGCCCCCGGCCGCCGAGCCCGCCGGAGGAAUCCAAAAAACCAUCGCUUUCAGUACCGGCCUCUCUGAGUUACUGUACUUUUAAUUAAGUCA
rnacentral:misc_RNA from 1 species